AUAUAUAAAUAGAAUGAUUUAUCGUGUUUUUAAACAUUGGCGUGCUUAAAUCGAGAGCCAAAAAGCGUUCUUUUCGACGCUAGAAAUAUUCAACAGAUAUAAAAUUUAUGAAUUAAAAUUAUGAACACUAAAAUUGUGUUUGUAAUUGUCAUUAUUUUUCUCAUAUGAUUUAAAUACUUGUGUUGAAAGUAAAUGAACUUCUACAAUGUGCGUUAAAACGAGGAAAAUUUUGUUGUGAAUACGUGAAAAUCUGAAAACAGUAACUGAACAAAUCGACAAUGGAUUUGGACAUUUGGAGGCAAAUUCAAUGGAAUAGACAAAUAUAGCUUACUAGGCUGAAGCCCAACGGAUGUGAUAGUCCCAUCAGGCUGCCUUUUUAAUAUAUGGAGCGGAGUUUCAUAUCAGGGGUCCACGGCCAUGGCCUCGUGCUGCUGGAAAAUGUUGAUAGCCAGGAAUCGUGCAUAAAGUAAAAAAAAAAUGGACCACAGGGCGCAGCUUGAGAACAAGAAAUACAGGAACUGGGUGAGAGCCGGGCUUGGUUUUAAAUAUGUAAAAGACGGCUUGGAGCCAUUCUGCGACCACCUUGUUAUUCAGCUGCAUACUGAUAUCUUAGAUAAAGUUAAACAGAAACACACUCUUUCGGCAGUUUCAUGUGGCCUUUGCGAUGUACGCACACUCCAGCCGGACCAUGUUCAGACUAAAACUAGACAGUGUCCUCUCGGUCAAACACAUUGUAACUGUCUACAUCCACGCGGGAAAACGUCUUGUCGCAACAACGUAUGUGGUGCCAUAUACGACGAAAUUAUUAGGCGUCACGCAUCCACUCCUCCUGCUCCAUGCUGGAGAAACACAGAUGCACAUCAGUGGUGUACUGAACCUUGGGCUGUUGCAAAAUGUUUCAUAAAUGCUCCAGGAUAUGAACACAAGCUAAGAGCAACUGAGUUUGACUGUUCCGGCUUGUUGCAUCUGUUGAUUGAUACCAUAGAGUUCCAUCAACAUAUCCAGAGUGUUAUAUCUGGCAAUGAUGCUUUCUCA